GUGCGCCGGGCGGGCGGGCACUGCAGCUUCUUCCUCCGUGGAGCGGAGAGCGAGAGAGAGCUAGAGCGAACGAGAGAGCGGCGAAGGCGGGUAGAGGGGCGCGGGCGAGGCGGCGCAGCCAUCCCCGGACCAGGGGCCGCGCCGCCACCAUGCUAAACAACCUGACAGACUGCGAGGACGGCGAUGGGGGAGCCAACCCGGGUGAUGGCAACCCCAAGGAAAGCAGUCCCUUCAUCAACAGCACUGACACAGAGAAGGGAAAGGAGUAUGAUGGCAAGAACAUGGCCUUGUUUGAGGAGGAGAUGGACACCAGCCCUAUGGUGUCCUCCUUGCUCAGUGGCCUGGCCAACUAUACCAACCUGCCCCAGGGAAGUAGGGAGCAUGAAGAGGCAGAAAACAAUGAGGGUGGAAAAAAGAAGCCGGUGCAGGCCCCACGCAUGGGCACCUUCAUGGGCGUGUACCUGCCAUGCCUGCAGAACAUCUUUGGCGUCAUCCUCUUCCUGCGGCUCACCUGGGUGGUGGGCAUUGCAGGCAUCAUGGAGUCCUUCUGUAUGGUGUUCAUCUGCUGCUCCUGUACGAUGCUCACGGCCAUCUCCAUGAGUGCAAUUGCAACGAAUGGUGUUGUGCCUGCUGGUGGCUCCUACUACAUGAUUUCCAGGUCUCUGGGCCCAGAGUUUGGGGGUGCCGUGGGCCUCUGCUUCUACCUGGGCACUACCUUUGCUGGAGCCAUGUACAUCCUGGGCACCAUUGAAAUCCUGCUGGCUUACCUCUUCCCAGCCAUGGCCAUAUUCAAGGCAGAAGAUGCCAGUGGGGAGGCAGCAGCCAUGCUGAACAACAUGCGUGUUUACGGCACCUGUGUGCUCACCUGCAUGGCCACUGUGGUGUUUGUGGGUGUCAAGUAUGUCAACAAGUUUGCCCUUGUCUUCCUGGGUUGUGUCAUCCUCUCCAUCCUGGCCAUCUAUGCUGGGGUCAUCAAGUCUGCCUUCGACCCACCCAACUUCCCGUGAGUGCUGCUACUCUGAGCCCAAGGAAUCGUCCUCCAACCUCCCUGGCCCUGUUUCAGAGUCUCUGCCAAACUCCCCCUCCCUGGCCCUCAGAAUCUUAGAGUGGUGUGGGUUGGGAGCAGCUUCCCUUGGGAGGGAAAAUCUCCCUUGGUUUGGGGGCAAUCUCUUCAGAGUGAGGUAACUUUUCUGGAGGAGGGAACAAUUUACCUUGUAAGAGUCAACUUCUUGCUGGUAGGGGGGACUUAGGAAGAAUUCAGUGGGAAUGGGUUCCAAACAAUGAAUACUGUCUGUGGUAGGGAAACCUUUCCUGGGUGGUGACAACCUCCUGGAAUGGGACAGUCUCCUAGUGUUGGACAACUCCUCCAGGAUGGGAAAAGACACAGAAAUCUAGAGGGUCCAGGGGCUCAGGUCCAAGUCCACUCCAUCCACUGCUCAGAGGUGGAGGGCGUCCCCCGAGACCGCUGUCCACGGUGCUGAAACACAGCAUUGCACUAACGCGAUGCUUCACCACCUUGGCUGCUUAUUAGAAUCACUUGGGGAGCUU
rnacentral:sRNA from 1 species